UGCGUAGGCGGAUUAAUAAGUCAGUGGUGAAAACCUGCAGCUUAACUGUAGACUUGCCAUUGAUACUGUUAUUCUUGAGUACGGUCAAGGUAGGCGGAAUGUGUAAUGUAGCGGUGAAAUGCUUAGAUAUUACACAGAACACCGAUUGCGAAGGCAGCUUACUGGGCCAUUACUGACGCUGAGGCACGAAAGCGUGGGGAGCGAACAGGAUUAGAUACCCUGGUAGUC
rnacentral:rRNA from 1 species